rnacentral:rRNA from 1 species
UGAAGAGGGAAGAGCUCAAAUUUAAAAUCUGGCAGUGUUUUGCUGUCCGAGUUGUAAUCUAGAGAAGUGCUGCCCGUGCUGGACCAUGUACAAGUCUCCUGGAAUGGAGCGUCACAGAGGGUGAGAAUCCCGUCUUUGACAUGGACUGCCAGUGCAUUUGUGGUGUGCUCUCAAAGAGUCGAGUUGUUUGGGAAUGCAGCUCUAAAUGGGUGGUAAACUCCAUCUAAAGCUAAAUAUUGGCGAGAGACCGAUAGCGAACAAGUACCGUGAGGGAAAGAUGAAAAGAACUUUGGAAAGAGAGUUAAACAGUAUGUGAAAUUGUUGAAAGGGAAACGCUUAAAGUCAGUCGUGUCGGCCAGGGAUCAACUCAGUAAUUUUUGCUGGGUGUACUUCCUGAUCUGAUGGGCCAACAUCAGUUUUGACUGCUGGAGAAGGAUAGAGGGAAUGUGGCACCUUCGGGUGUGUUAUAGCUYUCUGUCGGAUGCAGUGGUUGGGACUGAGGAAAGCAGCAUGCCGCAAGGCCAGGUCAGUUUUGACCAUGUUCAUGCUGAGGAUGUUGGCAUAAUGGCUUUAAUCGACCCGUCUUGAAACACGGACCAAGGAGUCUAACAUGCCUGCGAGUGUUUGGGUGGCAAACCCGAGUGCGGAAUGAAAGUGAAAGGUUGAGAUCCCUGUCAUGGGGAGCAUCGACRCCCGGACCUGAGCUUUUAGCAAAGGAUCUGCGGUAGAGCAUGUAUGUUAGGACCCGAAAGAUGGUGAACUAUGCCUGAAUAGGGUGAAGCCAGAGGAAACUCUGGUGGAGGCUCGUAGCGAUUCUGACGUGCAAAUCGAUCGUCGAAUUU